UGAACGCUGGCGGCGUGCUUAACACAUGCACGUCGAACGGGAAACCUUUUAUUGAAGCUUCGGCAGAUUUAGCUGGUUUCUAGUGGCGGACGGGUGAGUAACGCGUGGGUAACCUGCCCUAUACAGGGGGAUAACAACCAGAAAUGGUUGCUAAUACCGCAUAAGCGCACAGGGCCGCAUGGUCCGGUGUGAAAAACUCCGGUGGUAUAGGAUGGACCCGCGUUGGAUUAGCCAGUUGGCAGGGUAACGGCCUACCAAAGCGACGAUCCAUAGCCGGCCUGAGAGGGUGAACGGCCACAUUGGGACUGAGACACGGCCCAGACUCCUACGGGAGGCAGGAGUGGGGAAUAUUGCACAAUGGGGGAAACCCUGAUGCAGCGACGCCGCGUGAAGGAAGAAGUAUCUCGGUAUGUAAACUUCUAUCAGCAGGGAAGAUAGUGACGGUACCUGACUAAGAAGCCCCGGCUAACUACGUG
rnacentral:rRNA from 1 species